rnacentral:lncRNA from 1 species
AUGACACUUGGAUGGGAUGGCUGCAUGCCCAUGGCCGCCCUACCCUUCACCAGCCCUCGCCAAAACAUACCUGCCUGCAAGUGCCCGAUGAUGCUGUCAUGGGGUAGCCUGGAGUCCUCUCUAACUCAAGACGACAGGAAGUCAGCAGCUCACCUCCCCCGGGCAUCACACGGAGUCAGCCAGGAGUCCCUCGUGUGGGGAAUGACUGCCUCGUGGAGCAUAUGUGAAGAUGGGUAUCUCGGGACCACCAGCGUGCUGCCGGGGAGCCAACUUUUGCCUGGUCAGCUAACUCCGCGGUCCCGGGGCCUGGGGAAUAGCAAGGAGCAACUGGAGACUGGCACAUGCGAUCCCCUCUCAUGGUGCGAUGCUGCCUGAUCAGAAGCGGGAUCUCUUUGCGGCGGCUGCUUGUUCAUCCAUCAGUGUGACAUGGAGAACCUUCCACGUCAAUACAAACACCCGUGCGCUCGCUGACCCAGUCGCGGGAACGUAUUCCAUGGGAUCCACAGAUUGUCAUCGAAUUCUUCAGUUCCCAGUUAAUGGACAUUUAGAUGAUUUCCAACUUUUUAUUUUAAUAAACAAGAUAAGAUUGUCCAAUGUAUACUUUGAACCAAUGGUAAUCAUAAAAGUAAUAACUACAGUGCAUUCAGCACCAUUUACACGCCUGGCAUCCCUCGAAGCACUUUAUACGCAGUAACUCAUUUACUCCUCCCGACAAACCUGCAAGGCGGGUUCUGUUAGUGCCCAUUUUACAGACAGGUAGAGUGAGGCAUGGAGUUUAUGUUAGAGGUCAAAAGUUAGUAAGGGGUGGCUGGGCACAGUGGCUCACGCCUGUAAUCCCAGCACUUUGGGAGGCCGAGGUGAGCAGAUCACGAGCUCAGGAGAUUGAGACCAUCCUGGCUACCACGGUGAAACCCUGUCUCUACUAAAAAUACAAAAAAUUAGCUAGGCAUGGUGGCAGAAGCCUGUAGUCCCAGAUACUCAGGAGGCUGAGGCAGGAAAAUGGCAUGAACCCGGGAGGCGGAGCUUUCAGUGAGCUGAGAUCACACCACUGCACUGAGGCCUGGGCAACAGAGCGAGACUCUGUCUCAAAAAAAAAAAAAAGUUAGUAAGGUCCAGAGCCUUCAUAACCAACUUGCCAGUGCUGGGGGAAAUAUUUCUAAUCUUUUCAAUAAUCUAAUGGGGGGGUGCAGAAAAUCUCAAUGUUGCUUUUAUUUUCAUUUUUGUUACUCAUCAGGUUGAUUUCUA